UACGUAGGGUGCGAGCGUUGUCCGGAAUUAUUGGGCGUAAAGAGCUCGUAGGCGGUUUGUUGCGUCGGCUGUGAAAUCCCGAGGCUCAACCUCGGGUCUGCAGUCGAUACGAGCAAACUAGAGUGUUGCAGGGGAGACUGGAAUUCCUGGUGUAGCGGUGAAAUGCGCAGAUAUCAGGAGGAACACCAGUGGCGAAGGCGGCUCACUGGCCCGGUACUGACGCUGAGGUGCGAAAGCGUGGGGAGCAAACAGG
rnacentral:rRNA from 1 species